UACGUAGGGUGCGAGCGUUGUCCGGAAUUACUGGGCGUAAAGAGCUUGUAGGUGGUUUGUCGCGUUGUUCGUGAAAUCUCACGGCUUAACUGUGAGCGUGCGGGCGAUACGGGCAGACUAGAGUACUGCAGGGGGAGACUGGAAUUCCUGGUGUAGCGGUGAAAUGCGCAGAUAUCAGGAGGAACACCGGUGGCGAAGGCGGGUCUCUGGGCCGAUACUGACGCUGAGGAGCGAAAGCGUGGGGAGCGAACAGG
rnacentral:rRNA from 1 species